UGGAGCAUAGUCUCCUUCAAAAUAAACCGUUGUACAGAUAUGUGGAGAGCGAUGAGUGGAAUGAUGCAAAAGCAAUAAUCAACAAUGACGACACCGCCAUAUUUUCCACCUCCUUUACAGGAAAAACCGUUCUUCAUGUUGCAGUAAUAGCUGGCCACCUACACAUUGUGAAGAAUUUGGUCAAGUUAGGGAAAGAUAAGUUAGUUAAAAUGCAAGACAACUUCGAUUACACGCUCUUUCUCUCGCCGCGGAAUUAACUGGAAACGUAGAGAUUGCAAAGUGC
rnacentral:lncRNA from 1 species